AGCGAACGCUGGCGGCAGGCUUAACACAUGCAAGUCGAACGGACCCUUCGGGGUUAGUGGCGGACGGGUGAGUAACACGUGGGAACGUGCCUUUAGGUUCGGAACAACACAGGGAAACUUGUGCUAAUACCGGAUGUGCCCUUCGGGGGAAGAUUUAUCGCCUUUAGAGCGGCCCGAGUCUGAUUAGCUAGUUGGUGGGGUAAAGGCCUACCAAGGCGACGAUCAGUAGCUGGUCUGAGAGGAUGGCUAGCCACAUUGGGACUGAGACACGGGCCAAACUCAUACGGGAGGCAGCAGUGGGGAAUCUUGCGCAAUGGGCGAAAGCCUGACGCAGCCAUGCCGCGUGAAUGAUGAAGGUCUUAGGAUUGUAAAAUUCUUUCACCGGGGACGAUAAUGACGGUACCCGGAGAAGAAGCCCCGGCUAACUUCGUGCCAGCAGCCGCCGUAA
rnacentral:rRNA from 1 species